GGGGAAUAUUGCACAAUGGGGGAAACCCUGAUGCAGCAACGCCGCGUGAGCGAUGAAGGCCUUCGGGUUGUAAAGCUCUGUCUUCGCUGACGAUAAUGACGGUAAGCGAGGAGGAAGCCACGGCUAACUACGUGCCAGCAGCCGCGGUAAUACGUAGGUGGCAAGCGUUGUCCGGAAUUACUGGGCGUAAAGGAUGCGUAGGCGGAUAUUUAAGUGGGAUGUGAAGUCCUGGGGCUCAACUCCAGAACUGCAUUCCAAACUGGAUAUCUAGAGUGCAGGAGAUGAAAGUGGAAUUCCCAGUGUAGCGGUGAAAUGCGUAGAGAUUGGGAGGAACACCAGUGGCGAAGGCGACUUUCUGGACUGUAACUGACGCUGAGGCAUGAAAGUGUGGGGAGCAAAC
rnacentral:rRNA from 1 species